CUAAUGACACCUGAAUAAUUACUAGAUUGUUUCUGAUCAAUCACACAGGAAGACAUCACAUCCCCAUGUAUGGUCUUUCUUCUUGUGUCCCUCCACUUGACCUUGGACUCUGUGGACUUCCUUCCAUGACUUAACUGUGUGUCUGACUACCUUCCUAUUUAUUUGUUGCAGUUUUCUGUUUGUAACACCCCCCAAAGAAAUAACAUAUCCUACUCUGUAUCUAAUAGUACCACCGCCAUCAUCACAGCUUAGAUGAUGGUGGUGGCGGAGUGAGAUGAUAAAUACACGGGGAAACAAUGUAAUAAAUGCAUGUGUUAGUGAUACAGUUCUCCUGUGAGGAGUGGAUGGUUAAAAAAGCUGUUCUGUUAUAUAAUGGUAUUCAGCACUCUUGUUUGGAAGAGCUUAUAAAGCAUGAAGGGGCAAUCUGUGAUUGCUACAUCCAUUGUUUUUGUCAAUAUGCACAAGCUCAGGACAUUUGGUUGGGAAUCAUUGAUGGACAGCCAUAUUCAAACUUUGUUUUUAUUAAUAAAGAAACAUGUCUAUAAUGUAGGUUGUGUAAAUACUGUAAGAAGGAAACAAAUCCAAUUGAAUCCCUUUUUAGAUUGAAUUUUUAAGGCAGCUAAAUGUGAAAACUGUGCAAGAGCUAUGUAGACUUCCGCUAGGCAUUGUUAAUAUCCACUCACUCUUGAAUAUAACUUAUAAAUGCCUCAUGAGCUUAGUUCAACUGUCUUACCCCAAAUAUAAGCUUGUUUUACCACAUUGUUUGUAAACAAUGACAUUGUAAACAAACACUGUAUAAACAAUUCCAUUGUAAACAAACACUGUAUAAAAACAUGGUUAACUAUCUCUCUAUGAAUUCGAGAAUGGUUACAUUUCUCCAGCCCAGCCUCAUCCCUCAGCUAUUUAAUAAUUAAGUGGCAGGGUGUCAGCUUUGUUAUUCUUUGUUUUGCAGAUUUUCCCUUUAAUCCUGAGUUUUUUGGAGGGGUUUUAGCAAAGAAGAUACACAUUUAGGAUGAAUUCAGAAGUCACGUUAUGUCUCCUUAAAAGUAUCUUCUCUGUGAUAAUACACAUUUACCGGUAAUAAGGCAUGUGAUAAAACUAAGCCUAGGGUUUUGUGGAGAAAAGCAUUUACAGUCAGGUCCAUAAUUAUUGGCACCCUUGAUGAUGAUGAGUAAAAACCCACCACUGGUGUGCGUGGCCGAAGAGCUCUAUUUUCAUGUCAUCUGACCAUAGCAGCGGUUCCACGCCGUGUGCAAUUGUCGUUUAUAAAACUCCAGCUGGUGCUAUCGUCAGAUGACAUGAAAAUAGAGCUCUUUGGCCACACACACCAUUGGUGGCUUUGGCGUCAAAAACGGAAGCAUAUGCAGAAAAGUACCUUAUACCUACGUUAAAUAUGGAGGUGCAUCUUUGAUGUUAUGGGGCUAUUUUGCUUCCACACUGGUCCUGUGGCCCUUGUUAAGGUCAACAGCAUCAUGAACUUUACCAAGAACCAGGACAUUUUAGCCAAACACCUGGUUGCAUGGCCGCAAGUGGAUCUUUCAGUAAGACAAUAACCACCAGUACACAAAAACAUAAACCAUUUUUUUUAUUGACCACAAAAUCAAAAUGUUGCAAAGUCUCCAGACUUGAACCCCUGAACCCCUUUGAAAACCUGUGGCUUGAAUUGAAGAGGGUAGUCCAUAAGCACAGACAAAGGAUAGACAAAGAUCUGGAAAGAUUCUGUAUGGAAGAAUGGUCUAAGAGCCCUCUCAAUGUGUUCCCCACAAAAAGGCUCAGUGUCGUUAUCCUCUCAAAGGGAGGGUGCUGGAGUACUGAAACAGAUGCCAAUAAUUAUGACCCCUAUCGUAUCAGAUUUAUUUUAUUACUUGUUAAACAAAAUCUCUUUCUCUGAGCAAUUGUAUUAGUAUAAAAAUAUAUAAUUUUAGAACAAUGUUGAGCAUGUAAUAUAGCUCAGUAUUUGUAUUAUUUAUUUGAUACAGUAUUGUUUGCUCAUAUUUAUCAAGGGUGCCAAUAAUUAUGGACCUGACAGUACAAAGAAAUGUAGAAUCCUCUAUAUUUAGUACUGUUUCAAACAUUUGUUUGCAUUGUUUAACAUGAACAUUAUCUUGCAUCUCAUCUUUGUCUGAGAUUCUCUCUCGGGACAGAGUGGUGGAGUAGCAGGUAGGCCUAAUGGGAUGUGCACGCCUGUUUGAGGGUGUUUUAACUGCGCAGGCACUCAUCUGGUCAUGGAGAGGGUGGUAUCUUUCUGGUUUGGAUUUACCAGUAACGCAACUAUCAUGCUCAGUAUUUUUAUAAGCCUAAUGAAUAAAUAAUUCAAAAUUAAGACUUACAUUGGGGCUAGAAGAGUAUUUAAGCCGCUAUCUGGCAGGCUUCUGGAGAUUGUCCUGUUAGGGUGAAGGAAGCAAAGGUGGCAAGAAUAAGGCCUGUCCAGCAUGUCUCCUAUCCGGAGGAAAUGACAAGAGUAAAAGAAGGGAGUGGCGUUGAAGAGGCAUAGGUAACAGGGUUAGAGCAGGGGUCUCCAAACUUUUCUAGCAUGAGAGCUACUUUUAAAAAAUGUACAUGUCACAAGCUACUCAUUGUUUUCUAGCUCUUCUGCCCUGCAACUCUUCCCCUGGUCCUUGGUGUACAAGAGAAAGUAGUGCACUAUGUUUUCUGUUAAUAUACCUGGUCAAAUAAUGGUUAAUAAACAACUAAGGGGGCCCCUACAAAAUCAUUGAUUUUUUUUGCAGAUUCUUUUUAAUAUUUUCCCAAAUUAGGUUCUCCUGUUUUGAGAAUAAAAAAAAAUGUCACUCUCGAAAUUAUAAUUGUUCAUAAAGAAACAACUCAAUUGGAUGUAAGUACAUUUCAAUGGUUAAAUCACAUCAGAAUAUUUUUUUUGUCUGAAAGAAAACAAACAAAUAGAUUUUUGAGCGAACAAAUAGAUUUUUGAGUGUAAUUCCAAUUUAAUUUAAACUACUGGUAGUUCGCAAUCGACCUGUUGGAGACACCUGGAUUAGAGACAUUAGUGAAUGUUCCAUGCCAACAGAGUGACCCUGACAUGUUGCAUGUUAAGAAGGUGGACUUUGUAUUGUUGAUUACAAACUGCACAGCAUAAACAGAGGAAAUCAGAGAAAAUAGGAAUCAACACUAGUGCGGCCAGGUGUUUGUUUGGGGCUCAGGGAAUUUACAGCAGAGGCAUUUAGCCUAGGCAGCUGAUAGUGGGUGCUAGAUCUGCACUAUUGUUUAUGAUUGAUGUGCACAGCCAGUAAUACUCUCCUGUCCCCUGUGGACCAGCUUGUACAUAAAGCAUCUUCCAUUCAGGCAGCAAAGGCAUGAUUUUCCACUUUAACUAGCUUUAAAUUGCAGGCCGUCUGGAAAAAAAAAUGUGUACUGUCUUAAUAAAACACAAUCUUCCACCACAAUUUUCGGGAUUUCGGACAACUUACCCUUAGCAGAACGUGGUGUGUAACAUACUAAGUUAUCACAAAAUGGUUAUGGACAUUUUAUUUUCAGAUGGCACGCCAUUAAAGCUAGUUAAAUAGGAAAAUAAUGCCUUUGCAGCCUGAAUGGAGGAUACUUUAUUUAUGAGCAGGUCCACGGGGGACACUCGUGUAUUACUGGCUAGGCACAUCAAUCCUAAACGAUAGUGCAGAUCUAACGCCCACUAUCCUGGCAACGAAUGUUCCGCCCUCACAGGCAAUACAACUUUUCAUGAUGUAGUCCGCCCUAAAACCCCACCAAAGAAGAAGAAGCUUAUGGAGCUCUCCUAGAACAGUGGUUCCCAAACUAGCGGCUGCGACCCCAUGUGAUAUGAAAAUGGGAUUGCAGGAGAAUUGUCAAAAUCCUGGUAAAAAAAAAUGUAUGUAAUAAUAAUCAUAUUAUAAUAUCGUCUUUGUCUCUCAGAAUCAUUGUAAUGUGGUUAAUCUAAAUGGAAAGCUAUCAAACCUUAAAUCGUGGGAAAAGGCAGCACUUGACCGUUGAACUUGAAUCAUUCACAUGAUGAAUGGCUAAGUCCGCUACGCUAUGACAGCACACUAUUGCAGAGACUGAUGUUACCAGCCGCAAUUGAUAUGGUGGAAACAAUGUGUGGGGAGGCACCGAAACUUACAUCAAUACCCUUGUCAGAAAAUGUGACUGAACAACUCCAAAAUGGACGUUAGCCGUGAGGGCUGAGAUGCAUUGACUUUUGUUUGCUACAUGUUGGGGGAUGUUAUUCACGAGGACAUCAUUUUCUGUCUCACGAUUCCCGAGCAUGAAACAGCACAGGGGAUGUUCAGUGUGCUGCGUGGCUAUAUUGGCGAAAAACAGAUUCCACGGGACCGAAUGGUGGGCUUUUGCACAGAUGGGGCUUAAUCUAUCACGGGAACGGCGGGCAGCCCUCUGCACUCUAGUUCCCUCUGCCAUAUGGACACAUUAUAUGAUACAUCCACUGACCUAUAAUGGAUACACCGAGAGCAACUGGCGGCAAAAAAGCUGAGAGCAGAACUCAAGAGAUAUGCAGCAGGUUGGAUGUGACAGGAGAGAUGAGGUGCGUACUGUUGACCACACCCCCUGAUUUAGAGAAGCGCCGAGGCAACAUGCAUCAAGGACACCCAUCUUAUUAGUGAUGGUGUCACCCAUCUUCCCAAUUAUCCCAUGUGUAUUUAUACCUGUGUUCUCUGUUUGUCUGUUGCCUGUUCAUUUUGUUCCUCAAACCUACCAGUGGUUUCCCCCUUGCGCCUGCCUUGUCUAUGUUCCUGGUUUCUAUUUUUCCCGGUUUUGUCUUUUCUGCCUGCCCUGACCCUGAGCCUGCCAGCCGUCCGGUACCUUUGCCCACUAUUCUGGAUUACCGACCUCUGCCUGACCUGAGCCUGCCUGCUGUCCUGUACCUUUGCCUGCCCAUGUUCGAAUUAAUAAACUUUUGUUACUUCGACAUUAACUGCACCUGGGUCUUACCUUCAAACGUGAUAAAACCCCUGUCCUAGAAUUUCAAGGACAGGAGUUUCAAGGGAAGUGUGGCUGCGUCCAGCCCACAGGCCAGGUUUAUGCUCACUCUCUGGUCACUCUCUGGUCAUUCUCUGGUCACUCUCUGGUCACUCAGGUAUUUAGUGCAAAGUUUUGGACUUUUGCUCUUUGGAGCACUACAAGAAAAUAAAAAAACAUGCAGCUGAAGGCAAUAAACCAUUUCUCUGAUAGAAAACGGCCUCAGUGGCAUCGAUAUUAGUCAUAAACAUUUAUUUUAUUGUCAGAAUUGACAACAAAGUGUAAAUAGGAUAAUAAAGGAUAACUGAGUUUUGUAAGUGA